GAGGAUAUAGCUCAAGUGGUAGAGUGCAUGCUUAGCAUGCACAAGGUCCUGGGUUCAAUCCCCAGUACCUCCU
rnacentral:tRNA from 1 species